rnacentral:rRNA from 1 species
UACGGAGGGAGCUAGCGUUAUUCGGAAUUACUGGGCGUAAAGCGCACGUAGGCGGCUUUGUAAGUAAGAGGUGAAAUCCUGGAGCUCAACUCCAGAACUGCCUUUGAUACUGGCGAGCUUGAGUUCGGGAGAGGUGAGUGGAACUGCGAGUGUAGAGGUGAAAUUCGUAGAUAUCAGGAGGAACACCGGUGGCGAAAGCGGCUCCUGGCCCGACAUUGACGCUCAUGUACGAGAGCGUGGGGAGCAAACAGG